GGAGAGGUCGCAUAAUGGUAGUGCACCGCGUUGGAAGCGCGGCGGGUCUAAUGGCCUGUGCGGGUUCGAAUCCCGCCCUCUCCGCCA
rnacentral:tRNA from 1 species